UACGAAGGGGGGCUAGCGUUGCUCGGAAUCACUGGGCGUAAAGGGUGCGUAGGCGGGUCUUUAAGUCAGGGGUGAAAUCCUGGAGCUCAACUCCAGAACUGCCUUUGAUACUGAAGAUCUUGAGUUCGGGAGAGGUGAGUGGAACUGCGAGUGUAGAGGUGAAAAUUCGUAGAUAUUCGCAAGAACACCAGUGGCGAAGGCGGCUCACUGGCCCGAUACUGACGCUGAGGCACGAAAGCGUGGG
rnacentral:rRNA from 1 species